rnacentral:rRNA from 1 species
GGGGCAACGUUCCCGCUAAAGAUAUAGUCGGGCCCGCUGAGAAAUCGGCGGGAAGAGUCACCGAAAAUGCGUCGACGAAAAACCGUUCCGUAGGUGAACCUGCGGAAGGAUCAUUA